rnacentral:rRNA from 1 species
AACGUGAGCCCCGAGCGUUAUCCGGAAUUACUGGGCGUAAAGAGUGCGUAGGUGGUUGUGUUAGUCUUCUGCUAAAUCCAUCGGCUUAACCGGUGAACUCCAGAGGAAACGGCACGACUAGAGUGCGUGAGAGGUAUGCGGAACUUAUCAUGUAGGGGUGAAAUCCGUUGAUAUGAUGGGGAACACCAAAUGCGAAGGCAGCAUACUGGCGCGUCACUGACACUGAGGCACGAAAGCGUGGGUAGCGAAAGGG